ensembl:lncRNA
CACAGGUGACUAAAGGUGACACUGAUUAAUUGACAAACAAAUAGGUGUGGAAAGUAAAAACAGGUUUUAAGGUAUUGUUGACUAAUACUUAAGUUUCAGUCAUGGUCUGCCCACAUGUAUAAAUAAAGGUGCUGAUCAGAUUCUGACACCUGCAGUUCAGCAUCAUUGUAUUCUGGUAAAGCUGUUUUCGCUGGUAAAGAGAGAAUCUCCUUGAAUUUGCUCUGCUCUGCAUUUUUCUCUGGUAAAAAAACUUUUCUGUUAUUCAUCCCAUCUGCUUUUAAUGUAUUUUUCUAAAAUUGUAAUUCUCUUUGUGUAAAUAUACCAAUGCUUGUUCCAGAGAUUGUAUUUGCAAAAAUGUGUUUGUACAUUAAUGUUUUAAGUUUUUAAAUAAUAUUUAUUCUAUAAUAUGUUUGCUUCUUAAUUGACUUUUUAUCUUUUAUUGUAAAGUUUAUUUAUAAUGUUUAUACAUACGUGUGUGUGUGUGUGUGUGUGUGUGUGUGUGUGUGUACUUAUAAAUGUGCAGGUGCAGGAGGUGCAGUUUCUCAUAAUGAGGUUUUUAAUCUCAUUGUGCGUGUCUCUGCUGCUGCUUAAUAAUGGUGAAAUAAUCAAUGGACAAACACCAGGAGUGUAUCAGAGUGCAAGAUUUGCACGGUGCGCAUGGUGCUGAGUGCAACGCGCAAGAGAUGUGCUGUGGGGUUACAUCAUUUUAUUCUUAUGCCUACAUAUUUUUUUCUUCAUUGCAAAUCUUGUUUGGUUUUAUUUUGUGUCACUGCAUGUAAAAAAAUAAUUUUCAUUUAUUACAUCACUUUGCAGUUUCACAUUUUGCAUAUGCAUUACAAUCUUAUUUGCAGUCCGUAGAAUUUUAUAAUUAUUUGAACAAUAAUAUUUAACAUAACCUGAUUUGUAUCUGUAUCAGUUAAUACAAAAGAGAUCCCAGCCAGCAUUUCAACGUUGAUUCACCGGUGAAUCAACGUCGGUACCAUGGUUGAAUCAACGUUGGAUUAUGUUUCGAUUUUGCAAAUUGGAUCAACGUUAAUAUUGGAAAAAAAAAUAAGUGAAAGUGAAUAUUGUGACGUUGUUUCACCAUUUCAAUCACGACACUGUUUCACUGUCUUUCAUCAUGAGUGAAUUAUGGUCGUUCUGUAGACGUUGGAUUAAUGUUGAAUUAGGUGUUGAUUUUGCAAAGUGAAUCAACGUUGAUAAUGCGACGUUGUUUCACUGUUGUACUUUCAACAUGGGUGAAUACACAACUGUACAUUCAGUUAGAGCCUAGUUUGCAUUUAGAUCAACACUGUACAUUAUAAAGGUUAAAAAUCAAAUGACUGGCAGCAAUGGCUUUAUAAUCAACUUCAAUAAACUACCACAUGCUCAAAAUUGUAAAACA